rnacentral:tRNA from 1 species
GGUAGCAUAGUCAGUGGUUAAGAGCAUGGCUCUGAGGCACAGAUGCCUGGGUUCAAAUCCCAGUUCUACCA